rnacentral:lncRNA from 1 species
CUGUUGCUGCAAGUAUUAUGUGGUGAUUAGCCAGUAAUAAAGGUUAAGCGAUUCUAUGAUUCUUUGAUCUGCAUCAUGUUUUGGCUAGCCAUGGACCACAAGUCUUAUUUAAAGUUGAUGCUAAUUGGCUUGAAAGGGAGAAAAUUGGGGAAAAAGGAUAAGAGUAUUCCGAGUUUCAUGGAGGCUAGCUAAUGUAUUUGUUUUUUGUUUUCAAAAAUCCAAGAAAAAUAAAUUUUAUUUUCUAUUUUUGUUUUUAAAAAUCCAAGAAGAAAUAUGAACUAAACUAAACAACGUCAAUCUACACAUGCUACUUCACUAAUUUGUAGAGAUAUGAAAAAACAAUAUCAACAACAAUACCAGGUCUUGCACUUGUUUUUUUUUUUUUUUUGGCAACUGCAUGGAAGGCAAUUAUGAUUUCUCGCUCUGGCCUUCAUAAUUUAUUUGUUUAACAAGAUUCAUAAUGUCUGGUACAUUGAGUGUGGUUAGGCACCCCGAUUCAGCAAAGCAUGGUCAGCAUAUGCUAUGUAACAAGCCAGCAGGCUUUGGUUGUAGGUCCACCACAACCAAAACUCAACAAAGUAAUAAACGAAUUACAAAUUGAAACUAUUAGCUCAUAUGAUUCUAGAAUCACAAUCCAUUUUGGACUGGAACCAACUUAAACCCAUUAAUGAUCUGGCAACCAGAUCAAGCCAAACCCAAGUGCACCCUGGUCUACAACCUGAAAUAUAAACAUCAACCACAGACACAAACAAGGAAUGCUGCAGAUCAGCACUUGAUUUUUUUUUUCCCCCUUUUGAUUGAGUUAACCUUGUUCUUUCUUACAAAUACCAAUCACCUUCAUCAGGUUUCAAUAUGAAUGUUAUUGGACUAGUCUCGGGACAAGAGGUAUAAACAAUGCAAAUGCUAUGUUCUGAACAAGAAUGAGGAAUUGUACAAAUAUGCACAAAGGUACAAUUGCACAAAAGGACUUGACAGCUUAUAUGAAAUUGGGCAUCUCUAUUUCCUCCAAUAUUGGCCCCUUCAGUCCAAUGAUCAUAACUUGGGAAUUGGAAUGACCAUCCAGGAACAUCUCUGUAAUCUGCAGAAAAAAUUAUUAUCAGACAUAUACCUCGCAAUCAAUCAAAUUUAAAAAAUUCAUAAAGGUAAAACAGAAUAGAGAGAGAAGAGAGAGAGAGAG